rnacentral:rRNA from 1 species
UACGUAGGGGGCAAGCGUUGUCCGGAAUCACUGGGCGUAAAGGGCGCGUAGGCGGCCUGAUAAGUAGGGGGUGAAAUCCUGCGGCUUAACCGCAGGGCUGCCUUCUAAACUGUCAGGCUAGAGCACAGUAGAGGCAGGUGGAAUUCCCGGUGUAGCGGUGGAAUGCGUAGAGAUCGGGAAGAACAUCAGUGGCGAAGGCGGCCUGCUGGGCUGUUGC